AACACGGACCAAGAAGUCUAGAAUGUGCGCGAGUCAAAGGGCUGGCUAAACCCCAAGGCGUAACGAAAGUGAAUGGGACGGUAGGAAGAGGAAAGAAUAAUAAUAAUAAGACUCUUCGGCGGCGAGAUCGGUGAGGGUAGGUGUUGUUGUUGUUGUUGUGGUGGGGUUCUGCCUCAUUCAUCAUCAUCAUCAUCAUCUUCCUUUUCGUUUUCGUCGUCGUUGAUCUCUUUAUUUUUUUAAUCCUUACUCCUCGAAUCCCUUGGGCCGAUCCGGUUUCGACUCUCGUAGUCGAAUUCACCUCAUUUAAAACAUAGGAGGACGGCGCAGGCCCGGGGCUCGUCAGCUUCCUCUCCGCUAUCUAACGCUAAGUCGUUACGAUACUCGGUCGUUAAAAGAGAACCUCUCUCCGAAGUCGUCGUUUCUAUAUCGUCUUCGGGCUGCUCUUCUUCCUCCUCGUUUCCACAUCGGGGGCGAGGUUGGUUGUUGGGAGUUGUCCGAGUUCGUACGUCGUUGGGCGGUUAGGGUUCAUAGAGAGGUUUUAUGGGCUUCCGAGGACGUCGGCUCGCUGGCGGGGUUGAGCGGCGGGUACCUUGAGCGUACAUUCUAGUACCCGAAAGAUGGUGAUCUAUGCCUGGCCAGGAUGAAGCCAGAGGAAACUCUGGUGGAGGUCCGUAGCGAUUCUGACGUGCAAAUCGAUCGUCGGAGCUG
rnacentral:rRNA from 1 species